rnacentral:rRNA from 1 species
GUGAGGAAUAUUGGACAAUGGGCGCAAGCCUGAUCCAGCCAUGCCGCGUGCAGGAAGACGCAUCUAUGGUGUGUAAACUGCUUUUGUACGGGAAGAAACACUCCCUCGUGAGGGAGCUUGACGGUACCGUAAGAAUAAGGAUCGGCUAACUCCGUGCUAGCAGCCGCGGUAAUACGGAGGAUCCAAGCGUUAUCCGGAAUCAUUGGGUUUAAAGGGUCCGUAGGCGGUUUAAUAAGUCAGUGGUGAAAGCCCAUCGCUCAACGAUGGAACGGCCAUUGAUACUGUUAGACUUGAAUUACAAGGAAGUAACUAGAAUAUGUAGUGUAGCGGUGAAAUGCUUAGAUAUUACAUGGAAUACCAAUUGCGAAGGCAGGUUACUACUUGUGGAUUGACGCUGAUGGACGAAAGCGUGGGGAGCGAACAGGAUUAGAUACCCGGGUAGUCC